CUGUAGCUCAGUUGGUAGAGCGCACGACUGAAAAUCGUGAGGUCACGGGAUCGACGCCCGUCGGAGCCA
rnacentral:tRNA from 1 species